rnacentral:lncRNA from 1 species
UUUAGCUUAUUGUCUAUUUCCAAUCAAUACAUUCUAGAGAGUCUAUUCACAGGAAAACCUGAUAUAUAUAUCGCAUUUCCUGACUUCACUAUGCACAGACCAUAUUUCUUCUUGACAUGUUACUAUUUGUUAAUUACUUACUAUUAUUCUUACACAUCACUCUUUCGUAAUUUCUAAUCUUUCUCUCUUAUAGGACCCAGUGGCUGUCUUGAUGUCUCACAGCAGGAAGAGACUCUCUCAAAUAGGUGUACACAUGGGGAGAGAGAGAGCAAGGAGACUGAGAUACAAUCAGCCACCAGCAAGUUGUCUUGAUUUUCUGAAUGGAGCGUGGUAGCAUGUUAUAGAGUCCAAGGAAUUUGCCAAAUCCGUGUGAGAAGAUUUGCCUCUCACAUGUGAGAGAAUUUUUUGAGAAAAAAAAGAUCCUGACCCCGUCCCUCUGCCACCACCCGAGUGAGGAAGACUGACAGAGCACAUUGGCUUGCUGUGGAGACAAGAUCAGGGAAAGCGCCCCUGAAAAGAAAGCAUUUUGGAAGUCCUGAAGGUGGAGAAGGAGAUUUAGAGGAAGAGUGAUAAAUCAGAAGUCUUCGUCCAAGAAUUAGCUUUGCACCAUCUACAGACCUAAGCAGCUGCAGUUCUGGAGGCUGGGAAGUCCAAGAUCAAGGCAUUGACAGGUUCACCUUGUGGUGAGUGUCCAACUACUGCUGGUAAAAAGUGCCUUGAAUGCUGCAUACUUUGGAGGUAAGGAACUCUGUAUCAUCACAUGGCAGAAGGUGAAAGGGUGAAAAGAAGUAAACUUUGUCUGUCAAGCCCUUUAAUGAGAGCACCUUAAACCCAUUCAUGAGGGAGGAGCUAUCAGGGCCUAAUCACCUUUUAAAGGCCACAUCUCUUAUGACUAUCAUAUUAUCAACAUCUGAAUUUUGGAGGUGGCACAUUCAGACCAUAGCACAGGCCCUGGAGUACCUAGGUGAGAAGAUCAGUGUACACUUCUGCUGACUGUUUGGACAUUGGCCAUCACUGUAAAAGGGCUGACCCCUGAGUGAAGCUCCAUGUCCUCCCAUUCUGUUCUAGAUGAUCAGAUUCCACUUAAAUGCAUUUUAAAGCUGAAUAACAGCAGGUUUUCUUCUUUAAUGUUAACACUCAUAGCACACCAAUAUAUAAAUAAAUAAGAAUAACCUGUCAUAUGCUUUGUAAUAUAGGUUCUUAAUUUUUAUUCUCUCUGAUGGUGAAGGUGUGAGCAGAAGAAAUCUGUGCCGAAAGAAUAGCAGAACUUAGAUAAAUCACAAACAUCCAGUAUUUUCCAAUAUUGGUUUCUCCUUUCCUCCAUUUUCCCUUCCUGGAAGACUCUACUGGAUGUCUUAGUGUACCUCAGAGGUGAGUUUCUCUGUAAAGUCUUCAGCAAUCUUCUGCGCACAGAACUAUCCUCUUUCCCUUCAUUCUCCAAUGGCAUUUUAUGCAUGCUUUUAUUAUAACAUUUAUUAUGCUUUAAGAUGAGAGAGGAUAAGUAUCAGUUUUUACUGCCUGUAUCAAAAUGUGUCUUCUUGAGAACAUAGUAUGUUACUUACUUUUAAACCUCCUCACCUAACAGCACCUGACUCAGAGUGAGAUUUGGGGUUUACUCAGUCAAUAUUUGUAGUAUUUGUUGGUUAAAUGAUAGGCCACCAGAAUGCUGUCUGGAGUAUGUAACUACUUCUGCAUGGUGAUAGUAGCACACAAAAUAUGAAAUGGAAAUUAAAACAUUUCAAAACCUUUCCACCUCUAACUCACUGAGGUAAACAAUUUAAUACCAUGAUGUUCCCUUUCACAAUGUUUUCCAUAUUGUAUUAGUUAACGAUUGCGGUGUAGCAAAUUUCUCAGGGGCUUAGCCUUCACAAAAACAAUAAAUAUUUAUUAUACCGCAGUUUUAGAAGGACAGGAAUCCAGGAGCAGCUUGGCUGGGUUGUUCAGGCUCAGUCUCUCAUGUGGUUGCCAUUAAAAUGUUGACUGGGGCUGCAGGGUUUAACUAGAGCAAGAGAAUCUGCUUCUUAUGUCACUGUUGGCUGAGGCAUUAGCUUCUCACUGGGCUGGUUCUCAGUGGGAGGCCUCAGUUCCUUUCCACGUAAAACUCUCCACACAGCUGCUUGAGAGGCCUCACAACAUGACGCCUGGUUUCCCCCAGAAAAGCCAGUUCAGUAAAAAGAGCCAGGCAUAAACUGCAGUCACAUGCCAUCACUUCUGCUGUGUGGUCUUGGUCCCGAGACCAACUCUAAUACCAUGCAUUAUACAAGGGUAUGAGUAUCAAGAGUCAGGGGCCACUGGGGGCCAUCUUGGAGGCUGGCUACCAUCCAUAUAGGGUUUUUGGUUUUUAUAAAAAAUCUAAUGAUGCUAUAUACAUUUAUUUGCAACAUUUUUUCACAUGUAAAUACUUCACUACCCUUUCUCCAGGUUGGUAGAUAUGAAUGGAACUAAGUCAUUCUUUACAUUGUAGCUGACGUUAUAAUACAUUUAUUUCAGACCUAUUAAUUCUCAUUGUUUUCUAUUUCAAUAAAGUAAUACAUAUUCUUGCAUAUUUAUUUUCAUUUUAUAGAGGCUACCAAAAGUAAACAUACUUGAUCAAAAAUAUCAAAAAUAGCAUUUUGUUUUUUCUAUUUCCAUAGACAUUACUACAUUUCAAAAGAGUGACAAUAUUUAUUUUGCACCAACUAUGCACAAAAGUACUUGUUUUCCCAUAUCCUCUUCAGCACUGGAUAAUUUUUUAUAUACAUUUUGUCAUUUUGAUGUGCAAGAGAAAUCUCUCAUUUUUCAUUUAAUAUGCUUAUUUCACUAUUAGUGAGCUUGAGCACUUAAUGUAUGUAUUGACUUUAUGCCUUAUCUUUUCUGAAUAUUGUCUACUUGUAACCUUUCCUUCUCUUUUUCUCAUCAAUUUCUAUGGAGCGUUUGGUAUUUGCACACAGCAAGAAAUAUAAUUUUAAUUAUUUUUGCUCUGAAAAAUUUAUAGUAUAGUCUCCUUAAAAGAAUAUUAGCAUCUAUUUCAUCACCUUUUUGAGUUGAUAUACCUAAAAGUCUACCAGGUUUCAUAGGGAUCAAACAUAUACAGAAAUAUUUUAUGUCUUAUUUCUAGGGAACUUAAGAUUGGAUGAGAACGUGGCUAUUGACAUUACUAAGCUGAUUCACCUACCCCAGAAAGUGGCAAAUUAAGCAGUCUGUUGACUUUAAGAUUACCUUGGAGAUAGAUCACAGAAUUUAAAAUGCAGUCACUCAGAAAGCAAAAUUGCUUGGGAAUAAAAGGCAAUAAUUACUAUCACUCUUUCUGCAACUAGUGAAAUAUA